UUGGARRRAAUUGAUCCUGGCUCAGGACGAACGCUGGCGGCGUGCCUAAUACAUGCAAGUCGAGCGGACAGAUGGGAGCUUGCUCCCUGAUGUUAGCGGCGGACGGGUGAGUAACACGUGGGUAACCUGCCUGUAAGACUGGGAUAACUCCGGGAAACCGGGGCUAAUACCGGAUGGUUGUUUGAACCGCAUGGUUCAAACAUAAAAGGUGGCUUCGGCUACCACUUACAGAUGGACCCGCGGCGCAUUAGCUAGUUGGUGAGGUAAYGGCUCACCAAGGCAACGAUGCGUAGCCGACCUGAGAGGGUGAUCGGCCACACUGGGACUGAGACACGGCCCAGACUCCUACGGGAGGCAGCAGUAGGGAAUCUUCCGCAAUGGACGAAAGUCUGACGGAGCAACGCCGCGUGAGUGAUGAAGGUUUUCGGAUCGUAAAGCUCUGUUGUUAGGGAAGAACAAGUACCGUUCGAAUAGGGCGGUMC
rnacentral:rRNA from 1 species